rnacentral:tRNA from 1 species
UUAAUUGAAGCCAAAAUAGCGGCUUAUCACUGUUAAUGAUAAAAUUGGAUAAAAAUCCCAAUUAAA